CUAAGAUUUGAAUUUAUCUUCAGUUGCUGAUGAAAUUCUAAUGGAGUUGAAAAAGAACAAAGAAAAAGAAAAGAUAAAAAAACAUCUAUUUUCUUCACUCUACUCUAAGCCAAAUGCUGAUGAUAUGUGUCCGAAAUCGUAAGCCAGGAAGUGUCAUGGUGAUAGAGCACCUGACUCGCAUUUGGAAUUUAACGCGUGUGCGGAAUGGCCAAAAGUUGGCCAAAACCAACUCUUGGCCCGAGGCGUGGCCAGUUUGCUGCUGGCCAAAUGCAAAACAAGCAAACGGCGCAAUCCCAUUCUGCAUUGACAUGGCGGCCAUGCCAUAAUGUUCGUUAUGGCUGCCAAUGGGCAGCAGCCAUUGUUGCAUUGUGGCCAAGGACGUUGCCGUCUGUGCCACCGUUCCUGUUUCGACUUAUGUGGGUUGCUAAAUCCUCCAGCUCGACCGGAAGUGGGAAUACACAGAGGAGGAUGGAGGAAACCGAGUGGCGGAAAUGCGAUUAAAAUGUUCCGUAUAGCCACAGCAGGCAUCCGCUGUGAGGAAAACAAAGAAUAAUAUUCGUAGAAUUAGUGCGCUAAACAAAGAUAAAACUUGUCUAUAGUUUCCUACGGUGUUAUUGUAAAUGUAUUGCCUUAAUUGAAUUCGAGCUGAAAACCCAAAAAAAACACAU